GUAAAUUUCUGGCUAGUCUGUAAAUUGCAAGCAUUCUCUUUGGGGCUUACAUGUCUACUUCCCUUAGCUGGGAUCAGCGACUUCUCUUGGGCCUUUCCUCCAGCAGGCUGGGUCCCCUCUCUGUACAGAAGUUAAAAGGAUGUUGUCAAGCACAGAAAGUUCGAGUUCUGUCAGAAAACGUCUCGUUCCUGUUCCUGGAUGAACUAAAGACUCUGCCUGGAAAAGAACUAAGCUGCAAUAUACACACACCUGACUGCACAGCUGCUGAAGAGGAGAACUUCUGUUUAAUCUGUUUUAAAUAAUAGACAGGUGGAGUCUUACUCUGUAAUCCAGGCUGGAGUGCAAUGAUGUGAUCUCAGCUCACUGCAACCUCUACCUCCCAGGUUCAAGCAAUUCUCCUGCCUCAGUCUCCCAAGUAGAUGGAAUUACAGGUGUGUGCCACCACAACCGGCUAAUUUUUUUUAUUUUUAGUAGAGGUGGGGUUUCACUAUGUUGGCCAGGCUGGUUUCGAACUCCUGACCUCAUGUGAUCCACCCGCCUCAGCCUCCCAAAGUGCUGGGAUUACAGGCGUGAGCCACUGCGCCCGGCCUAGUAAGCCCUUUUAAAGAACAGAACUGAAGUCUAUAUAUGUGUGUAUAUAUUUUAAAAUUACAUUAUUAGUUCAUAUUUACAUUUCCAAUCGAAAUUUUAGGAUUAUAAAGUUUUAAUGUAUUUAUUUGAUUCUAUCUUUUUUUUUCUCAAGUGAAAAAUCCUGGUUCCUAACAGCAUGCACAUAAUUAUUUACUUGAUUUCUCUUAUAUAUUAUAUAACAGCUUGGCCAGGCAUGAUGGCUCAUUCCUGUAAUCACAGCACUUUAGGAGGCCAAGGCAGGAGGAUCACUUGAGCCCAGGAGUUCGAGACCAGCCUGGGCAACAUAGCAAAACCCUGUCUCUAUUUUAACAAAGUAAUAGUUUCAGAAUAGCAAUGUCAAUAGUAUUAGUAGAAAUUUGAAUGCUAAAAAAACAGUUUAAGACUUUCUGCUUGUUUGAUUUUAUGGUACAUACUACCAGGGAUGUAACCUCAGAUUACUGUAUUUUAAAGUUAAUUAAAAUACUUCCUCCGUCUGAGCUUAUGCCACCAACUCGUGGAACAGUUAGGUUUAUUCGUUUCAUUUUGCCUUGCUUUAUAAAGAUAGCUUUUAAAAGCAAUUGUGUUAUAAUUGUUUAUAGUAGUACUGUAUCGUGUAACAACUACAUUCUAUAGGGUCACCCUUGUAUCCAUCAUGUAAUGAUUGUUAUACAGGUAAAUAUAUAUAUUCAACGCCCACCUGAUCCUUAUGCCAAUUCCUCUUCGGUCAUUUGUUUGUCUUUUUCUAGUAGGUUCCUUAGGAAGGGCACAGAGAACAAUACUCCAUGAGUUCUGGCAUAUUCUUAACAGUUUGUGCAUGACUUUAAACUUGACUGGGUAUAAAAUUCUUGCCUACAUUUUCUUUUCUUUUUUUUUUUUUUUUUUUGGAAGGGAGCUUUGCUCUUGUUGCCCUGGCUGGAGUGCAGUGGUGUGAUCUCAGCUCUCUGCAACCUCCGCCUCCUGGGUUCAAGCGAUUCUCCUGCCUCGGCCUUCCGAGUAGUGGGAUUACAGGUGCGCGCCACCAUGCCUGGCUAAUUUUUUGUAUUUUUAGUUGGGACCGGGUUUCACCAUGUUGGCCAGGCUGGUCUCAAACUCCUGACCUCAGGUGAUCUGCCCGCCUUGGACCCCCAAAGUGCUAGGAUUACAGACGCGAGCCACCGCGCCCGGCCUUGACUACAUUUUCUUAACUGUUUGUAAUAUACUUUAUUCCAUUGCCCUAUGGUAUAAAAUGUUGCUGUUGAGAAAUCUGUCCGUCUUAGUCUCUUUCCCUAAUGAGUGGCUUGGUUGUUUCACUUUGAUGUCUAAAGAUUUCAUUUGGUUUUUCCCUUUUCUUUCAGUUCAAUAAAUUUACUUUAAAAAAAAGUCUCAUUUUGGCCACUAUCAAUGGAUUUUCCGAGGUACCUCAUGUGCCCGUUAAAGAUGUGGAUUCAGAUCUACUUGAUAUCAGUAACAUUUUUCUGAACUAUAGCUCCAGUUUGCAUUCAUUCCCCUUGCUUUGAGUUUCUUCUUUUGAGACUCUUAUUACAUGUAUGCUAAUAUAUAAGUAAUAAUCUAUUACUCCCUCUCCAAACCAUUUUCAAAAAUUUUAAAAAAUAUGUUUUUUAUUUUUGUAGAGACAGAAUCUUGCUAUGUUGCCCAGGCUGGUGUUGAACUGCUGGCCUCAACCAAUCCUCCUGCCUCGGCCUCUCAAAGUGCUGGGAUUACAGGUGUGAGGCACCACACCUGGCUUCUCCAGCCCUUAUCUUUUUUUAAAAUUUUGUUUUAAUUUCUUAUUUUCCUCUCAUUCUAUUUUCUCUUUUUUUCUUAUGAUGUUUAUUUGUCCUUAAGCUCAUCCUACUUUGGUCUUCAUUUCUGAAAUUAUUUUUUCUUUUACUCCUAGUUCUUUUUAAAAUUCUCUUAGCUCACAUUUCAAACUUUUCUUUUGUCCAAUCAUCUCAUUUUCUUUUUUUUUCCUCUUUUAAAAUAUUUUGAGACAGGGUCUCACUGUGUCACUCAGGCUGGAGUGCAGUGGUGCAAUCAUAGCUCAUUACAGCCUUGACCUCCUGGACUCCAGCGAUCCUCCCACUUCAGCCUCCUAAGUAGCCAGGAUUACGGUAGCACACCAUCAUGCCUGGCUAAUUUUAUUUUUUGUUUUUUGUAGAGACAGGGUCUUGCUAUGUUACCUAGGCUGGUUUUGGACUUUUAGUCUCAAGCAGUCCUGCUGUCUCAGCCUCCCUAAAUGCUAAGAUUACAGGCUCAUUUUCUAAUUCUGAUUUAUGGCAUUCUUCCAUAGCUACAAUCAUU
rnacentral:lncRNA from 1 species